rnacentral:tRNA from 4 species
GCCCCGAUAGCUCAGUUGGUAGAGCAGCUGACUCUUAAUCAGCUUGUCGUAGGUUCGAUCCCUACUCGGGGCA